UAGGAUAUCAGUCUGAUGUAGU
rnacentral:miRNA from 1 species